rnacentral:rRNA from 1 species
UACAGAGGGGGCAAGCGUUAUUCGGAAUCACUGGGCGUAAAGGGUGCGUAGGCGGGUCUUAAGUCAGGGGUGAAAUCCUGGAGCUCAACUCCAGAACUGCCUUCGAUACUGGCGAUCUCGAGUCCGGGAGAGGUGAGUGGAACUGCGAGUGUAGAGGUGAAAUUCGUAGAUAUUCGCAAGAACACCCGUGGCGAAGGCGGCUUUCUGGGACGGUACUGACGCUGAGACGCGAAAGCGUGGGGAGCGAACAGG